CAAAGGAGCAAUCCGCUGAAAGAUGGGCUCGCGUCCGAUUAGGUAGUUGGCGGGGCAACGGCCCACCAAGCCGACGAUCGGUAGCCGGACUGAGAGGUUGAACGGCCACAUUGGGACUGAGACACGGCCCAGACUCCUACGGGAGGCAGCAGUGAGGGAUAUUGGUCAAUGGGGGAAACCCUGGACCAGCAACGCCGCGUGAGGGAAGACGGUUUUCGGAUUGUAAACCUCUGUCCUCUGUGAAGAUGAUGACGGUAGCAGAGGAGGAAGCUCCGGCUAACUACGUGCCAGCAGCCGCGGUAAUACGUAGGGAGCAAGCGUUGUCCGGAUUUACUGGGUGUAAAGGGUGCGUAGGCGGCUUUGCAAGUCAGAAGUGAAAUCCAUGGGCUUAACCCAUGAACUGCUUUUGAAACUGCAGAGCUUGAGUGGAGUAGAGGUAGGCGGAAUUCCCGGUGUAGCGGUGAAAUGCGUAGAGAUCGGGAGGAACACCAGUGGCGAAGGCGGCCUGCUGGGCUCUAACUGACGCUGAGGCACGAAAGCGUGGGUAGCAAACAGGAUUAGAUACCCUGGUAGUCCACGCUGUAAACGAUGAUUACUAGGUGUGGGUGGACUGACCCCAUCC
rnacentral:rRNA from 1 species